UAAAACCCUAACUAAGAGUUUGGUUCCUGGAGUGGGGUAUUGCUGUGAUAGGCCUGACCACAUUUCUCUUUGGAAGUCUAGGUUGGGAUACUGGGGUCUGGCCAUUUAGGGGCUUGAGCAUCUCUUGCUAUAUUUCCAAGAAGAAUUGUCCCAGGAAAGUGACUGCUGGGCAGGACUAGCUGGACAUGUAAGAAAUUUGUUGGUUAUUGGUUGGAAGAUGAUCCUUAGCCUCAGUGACUUACAGUGUCCAAUGCUUUGAUGUGUCAACUGGUUCAGACUUUCCCAAGGGUUAUGAGGACAUGGACCAAUGGGUCCAUCUCUCCAAAGGAUGCUGUGACUAAAGUCCUGGAGGUCCUGGAGUACCAAGACAAAGAGGAAGAGCUGCCUUUGAUUUCACAGCCCACUAGCACACAGGUCCCAUUACCCUAGGUAUAGCCCUGAAAUCUUGAGGUCUAGGAAAGCCCAGAUCAUACUUGUUGGGAUUAACUUUGUUCAUCUCUGAUGUUUCCAGAAAUAAGCAUGGAGCCUUUCCAGGACCCUGACAACCAUCUGGAGCAGUCAGGGCAUGCAUGAAGUGGAAUGUGGAUUAUUUCCACGUAACCUCAUCUGCUUGUUCAAACCAGGGAGGCCUGGAGUAUCUCAGGUUACUCUGAGCACAGUUAAUGGCAAUCUUGAAGAAGGAACUGGCUUUCUUUGAUGUCUCACAGUCUAUAGCCACCUCUUAUUUAUCUCCUCCCUGUGUGCUGUGUUUUGCUUAGCAGAGUUGCUGCAGUGGUUCUUGUUGCUUUUGUAGUCUGUGUAAGAAUCAGAACGCACACUUUCUUAGCCUAUCUGUGUUGCUGGUAACUAAGGCCACAUUCUGACACAUUUCAUUCAGAUUUCAUACAGAUUCCUUGGCUUCCUGUGCACAAUAUGAUAUUGACCAUUUGCAAAUUCCGGGGUGGGGUGGGGCAGACAGUUGACCUUUAACCUCCACAAGCUGCUGAUCGGAUUUGCUUUGGACAUCAAGCGGUUCUGCGUUCUGGAGUUUCCUUAGCUGUGGCCUGGGGGGAACAUCUUAAUGGAGAUUAGGCCUGCCCCAAUGAGAAGAGGCUGCAAGAAUCUGCAGGGAAACUUCCAGAGCAGAGGUUCUGGUAGAGGUGUAUACAUUUGGGGGUUGCCUGAGCUCUCUAACUGGAACGAGAGAUAGAGAUGGGACCUGAGCGGAUAGAGUAGAUACUUUGUGAGCCAUGCUGAAAUGAAGUGGACGGAGCAUGCCCAGUGUGCCUUUUAGUUUUUGCAGUCCAGGGUCCUUAUGCAGGAGGGUUAAUGUCACACAGUUAUACAGCUUCCUCCUUUAGGAUGUGCAGAACACAGCGAGCUCCUGAGCCAGAGGAUUUCUGGGUCUUGUCAGGGCUCCUUCAAGGUAGCUAAGCAAACAUGGGAAAUAGAGGAGCCAGCAUAGGGAAGAAACCUGCCCCCUGCACUGUUACUGACCAUGCAUCUGUGGAGAUAAAGAACAAGGCUUAAAUGCCCUAGCCCUCCAGCUGCUCCCUGUGUGAGUCAGCAACUGUAACAAAAAGAUUACAAAGUGCUCUCUAAGCUUUGUCCAAGCCAACAGGGCCUUCUCCACCACUUGGUUCUGGCUUUAAGUUAGUUCCCACCCCUAGACUCUUAAGGAAUCUGUUUGUUUGUACAGACCAAAGGACACUUUUUUUUUUUUUUUUUUUUUUAGAGCUUUCAAGUUAUUUGUGGCAGAUAGAGCACAGACUGAGAAAGCCACGGAAGGGCUGUGGGGGAGGGGGAAGGAGACAGAUUUGAUGGAAACUCAAAGCUGACUUUCUGUUUGUUGAAACACCUCUUCCUACUUCUUACCCCUCUCUGGCUCAUAUCUCUUUUAUCUGGGACCCAGGGCCUUAGCCAACUACUUGGAAAUCACAGGCUGACAUUGCUAGAUCUCUAGGGGGCAUGGUUGGGUUUUUGGGAAGAGCCAGGAGGCAAUAUAGAACACCUGUAUUGUGUCCGCACAGGGCCCUGACACUUGGCACACACUGUAGGGUGCUUGGCCACGUACUGCAGACAUGGAACAAGAGGCAAAUUAACUAUGAAAUUAUGUUGCUUCCCGUAAAGGUUACAGACUACACUUGGAAUUUCAUCACCCCGUAUUCUAUGCCACCCCACACUCUGUACCUCACUCUAAGCAUGGCUGACUUUUCCAUGUAGAGCCUCCUUGUGGGUACACAAACUGAGUGUAGGUGGUAUGACCUUGACUUUAUAUUCCAGAGGCAGUGAACAUUCCCUCCCCACCUCUGGCAUUUCUAGGUGGUUCUUUUACUGACUCAUGCGCUUCCUGUCUCCAUUCAACCUUUCAGCGACCCAGAGCGGCCCAACCCAUUCUUUUCAGUAGAGAGAGGGACCUGAGAUGUCGCAGGAUUUCAGACAAGUUGGGAACUUGACUCCUGGCACUGUUUCUGCACAUGGGCCAAGUGGGCAGAUAUUUUUUGUAGAGAACAGUCAGUUUGAGAGCCAGCAGCAGCUGGAGGGAAGUUGGUCUGAGUGUGGCUGACUCUUUAUUUAUACUUUUGCACACUGGAACCUGUGCAUAUUCACUUUACUGUUUAGAAUCCUGAGACAAGCUUACUUUGGUAAGUGGGUGAUAGUGGAAGUAAGAGAGCCUUGGUUGGUCCUCAAGUAGUUCAGUACCGAGUGUGGGGGUCACUUUUGAACUCAAUACUUUGCCUGCUCUCAGAUCACCUCAAAUUUCUAUCGGUGAUAGUUCUGCUGGGUUUGGUCUGCAAUUGCUGAGCCCAGGGUAUAUUGUUAAGCAGCUUUCCCCGAAACUCUUCUUCAUGUGGUCAGAUUGCUCUGUGCCUGUGGUCCCGUAGGUAUUGAACAAGUCUGGCCACAUUCUCCUGUGUUCCCUGGAGUGUGGUAUGUGUACUGGGCCAGAAUUGGUGCUCAAAUAUUGAGUAGGGAGUUUUUAAGAGCAAGCUCUAAGACUCAAAACAGAAAGUACCAAGAAGAGACUACUUCAGUGACAAGAGGUUAGUAAACACACAUUUUUUUUUUUUUUUUUUUUGUAGGUGGGAAUAGGCUGCCUUGCCGUAAACUCUACUCCUAGUCUUAAUUCUAUUAUCUAAAUAAGAAUAAUGGACACCUUUUAUGUACUUUUUCUUUUAAGGUACUGGGAAAACAGAAGGAACAUGAGACACAAAGUCAUACAUAAAACACAUGGUUAGUCUGUCCCUUUAAAAAAACCUUUCAAGCCUUCAUGAGGAGAUUCCAAGCUUAUUUUUCUUUCUCUAGCCUUUAUCAGAAGGGACAUAAUUCCACAGCCCUAAUGCAGCAUGCUGACAGGCAUCCUGCAAGUGCACACCAAGUGCUUGCUUGUGCCAGGCAGCGUGCCAGGGCCUUGGGUGGACAUGGCAGACAUGCAAUUCUAUUUUUGUGGUAGAGACAGACACUGGACACGCAUACGGUCCGGGCAGCAUAAGGAGUGCUUUGCAGAAGCAGGGGGCACUGUAAGAGUGGAUUUGCCGAGGGCUCAUGACCUCCCUUCCUCAUGCAGAGGGGAUGAUGGGAGGAGGCAGGAUUAGUCUCAGGACAGCUGCUCAUAAAAGAGAGUGAGGUCAUGUUGAAGCUGUGGCCAAAUUGAAUUUUCGUGGCUGGUGACAACACGGAAGAAGUGCCAAGCGUUUGCCUGGUGGUCUGUCCUGGACAACUGGGCUGGACAUUGACAAAGGAGACCUUGAGGACUCUUGAGCGUUCAUGCCAGACCUGGGCAGGUGCCAGACCCCAGCCUCCAGCAGCCUUCAGAUUCCAACCUCCAUUUCCCUAGCUCUCUCAUGCAGAAAUGCCAGUUCUGGCCUUCAUGUUUUCUCCCCGCAGCCUGCUUACUUUCCCAGAUCUCUGUAGUGAGGGCAUGGGCUGCAUUUUAAUCUUGACAUUACUCUUUAUUGUCAUGGUUCUUUCCUUUUCCUCUGUCCCUUCCUCUCUUUCCUUUCUUCUUUCCCUUCCUCCUUAUCUACUUCCUGCUUCCCCUUCAUUCCCUUUUCUCUUUUUUCAUUACCUUUUGAUCUCCAUUGGUGUGUGGGUGUGAUUGAUUGAUUGCAAAAUAAAAUGAUGCUGCUUGUAAGUAGCUGGUUUUCUUACAACCUGUGAAUACAGAUUCUGACCUCUGCAAACUUUCGGAGGGCAUGCUCUUUUCAUAUGCAGUUAUCAGGAGUAGGAGUCUUCAUCCCAAGGACAGUGGGAAGUUCCCAAGCCUUUCCUGAAAAACUCUGAGGGAUGCUUGCAUAGUCCACAAAAUUGUCUCGAUGGCCACGUGUCAACCUGGCCACCAGUAUCAUCCCAGAAAAAGAAUUAUCUUCCUUUACUUUGACAUAGCCAUUGGGGCUCUUGCAGACUCCCAAAGCAUAGCGCUGUGUAGGGCAUAAAAGCCAAACCUUGAAGGCUUAGGGAGAAGAGCAGCAGAAUGCUAGUUGCUGCACGACAGGGUGACUUUCAGGGGCCCACAACCUAAGCUUGAUUUCUGUUCUGUACUGAAGGCCAGCUCCACUUUGAACAUGGAUCAGUACAGUACCCUGCAGUGCCUCUGUUAAUCCUAGAGACAAAGCCUCCUGCAGCCCACUUUCUCCUACCAAUAGCUUCCUGAUUCUCUCCAUCACAGACACAAUGGCACUGGUAACACUGUCACUUUAUUCUUCUGUUGUGUCUAGUUCUGUGGCCCGGAAAAGACAAUGACAACAUUCAGCAGGGUACUUCCUAUUGCCUGCCUUGCCCCAUCUAGCAUAACAGAACAGCCAAGGCUUCAUAUCAGCUGAGCAGAGCAAAGGACUCUAACCUGGUCCUCUAUCUACUUUAUAUCAUGUCUAGAUUAUAAAUAUGACAAAGUGAAGAUUAUGUAAAUGUUAUUCUUCUGUGUGGUUGAUGAAUAAUGACAAUAAAAAGCUCUGUGUGUUCAAUACUUUUUAAAACGUUCUUUAAAAAUAUUGUCAAUCAAGUUUGUUGACUCUGGACACAGUACCUAUGGAUAUGGAGGACUCUGCUUAUAUGGAAGGAUACACAAUAUGUAUAACUUUCUCACUUGUUGCCAGUACUGAAGGACAGCUACUGAGGGAAACCUGCUCUGAGAUUCAGAGACCUACUGAAACACGCUACAACUCCCACAAGUAAAGAAAAGACGCCAUCCUCCUAGACCUCAGCCUUUUUCAGUUAGAUGCAUGAUCUCACAACAUGGGUGCCAUGAUCUUCCCAAUUCCAAAAUCCUCACUCUGGAUCCUCCUUAAGUUGGCAGAUCACAGCCCCUCUGAAGAGGGCAUGGUGCAGCCACCACCCAGGACACGUGCCCAGCAAGCAGCCAUGGAAUUCUGACCUGAUUAGAAGUAGAACUCGCAGAUAUCAGUGUUGGCAGCUGUGGGGAUGCUCCAUGCAACUUGAAACAUAGUGAACUGGCAGAUUUGGGCUGCAGGCCCAUGUGGGUGUGGGUGUGGGUGUGGGUGUGGGUGUCUCCCACCUUGAGGCUCAGGACUGACAAGGGAGUUGGAUAAGGUGAAUCGUGGGGCUACUGAGGCAGGGCUCUAGUUGAGACGUAUCUGUUUCACAUAUCACUGUUUCGUAUCAGAGUUCUGAAUUGGACUGAACUAAAGGGAUUUUGGUCAUGAGCUGAAAAUUGUUUCAAUAAACAUACACAUUUACAGUGACA